UACCUUACGAAUAAGAGGUUACUAACUCUGUGCCAGCAGUAGCGGUAAUACAGAGACCUCAAGCGUUAUCCGGAUUUAUUGGGCGUAAAGAGCUGGUAGGUGGUUAUAUUAGUCAGGUGUCAAAUCUUGGGGCUCAACCCCGAAACUGCACUUGAAACGGUAUAACUAGAGGGUGUGAGAGAUCUAUGGAACUCAUGGUGUAGCAGUGAAAUGCGUUGAUAUCAUGAGGAACACCAAAGGCGAAGGCAUUAGAUUGGCACAUUCCUGACACUGAGCAGCGAAAGCGUGGGUAGCGAAUGGGAUUAGAUACCCCAGUAGUCCACGCCCUAAACGAUGUAUAUUAGGCNUGGAAGUAUCGACCCUUUCAGUGUCGUAGCUAACGCGUUAAAUAUACCGCCUGGGAAGUACGGCCGCAAGGCUAAAACUCAAAGGAAUAGACGGGGAUCCGACAAUGAGGUCUU
rnacentral:rRNA from 1 species